UUCCUGUACCGCCAAUAAGCGUUUGAGAGAUGGAGUGACACAGUAGGAUAAGCUAACCGUACUGUUGGUUAUGUACGGCUAAGCAUUGAGGCAGUCUAAAUAGGCAAAUCCGUUUAGAUAAUGCUAGGAUGUGAUGGGGAAGCCCUUCGGGGCGAAGUAGCUGAUUUCACACUGUCAAGAAAAGCUUCUAUCGAGUUUAAAGGCGCCCGUACCGUAAACCGACACAGGUGGGUGAGGAGAGUAUCCUAAGGCCAGCGAGAGAACUAUUGUUAAGGAACUCGGCAAAAUGACCCCGUAACUUAGGGAGAAGGGGUGCCUGUCUGUGACAGGCCGCAGAGAAUAGGCCCAAGCGACUGUUUACCAAAAACACAGGUUUCUGCUAAGUCGCAAGACGAUGUAUAGGAGCUGACGCCUGCCCGGUGCUGGAAGGUUAAGGGGAUCUGUUAGAGCAAUCGAAGCAGUGAACUUAAGCCCCAGUAAACGGCGGCCGUAACUAUAACGGUCCUAAGGUAGCGGAAUUCCUUGUCGGGUAAGUUCCGACCCGCACGAAAGGCGUAACGAUUUGGGCACUGUCUCAACAAUAGACUCGGUGAAAUUGUAAUCCCGGUGAAGAUGCCGGGUACCUGCGACAGGACGGAAAGACCCCAUGGAGCUUUACUGUAGCUUGACGUUGGGUCUUGGUACUACAUGUACAGGAUAGGUGGGAGACUAUGAAGCAUGGACGCCAGUCUGUGUGGAGUCAUCCUUGGGAUACCACCCUUGUAGUACUGGGAUCCUAACCAUAGGCCUUGAAUCAGGUCUUGGAACACCGUCAGGUGGGCAGUUUGACUGGGGCGGUCGCCUCCUAAAAAGUAACGGAGGCGCUCAAAGGUUUCCUCAGCACGGUCGGAAAUCGUGCGAAGAGUGUAAAGGCAAAAGGAAGCUUGAUUGCAAGACAUACAGGUCGAGCAAGGACGAAAGUCGGACUUAGUGAUCCGGUGGUACCGCAUGGAAGGGCCAUCGCUCAACGGAUAAAAGCUACCCUGGGGAUAACAGGCUUAUCUCCCCCAAGAGUCCACAUCGACGGGGAGGUUUGGCACCUCGAUGUCGGCUCAUCACAUCCUGGGGCUGUAGUAGGUCCCAAGGGUUGGGCUGUUCGCCCAUUAAAGUGGUACGCGAGCUGGGUUCAGAACGUCGUGAGACAGUUCGGUCCCUAUCCGUCGCAGGCGUAGGAAAUUUGAGAAGACCUGUCCUUAGUACGAGAGGACCGGGAUGGACGUACCUCUGGUGUACCAGUUGUUCUGCCAAGGGCAUGGCUGGGUAGCUAUGUAUGGAAUGGAUAAGCGCUGAAAGCAUCUAAGCGCGAAGCCAACUUCAAGAUAAGAUUUCCCACCGUAAGGGUAAGACCCCAGGAAGACUACCUGGUUGAUAGGUCGAAGGUGUAAGUGCAGUAAUGUAUUUAGCUUAUCGAUACUAAUAGGUCGAGGACUUGACC
rnacentral:rRNA from 1 species